rnacentral:rRNA from 1 species
UAAUGUAUGGGGAUCUGCCGAUAGAGGGGGAUAACUACUGGAAACGGUGGCUAAUACCGCAUAAUGUCUACGGACCAAAGCAGGGGCUCUUCGGACCUUGCACUAUCGGAUGAACCCAUAUGGGAUUAGCUAGUAGGUGGGGUAAAGGCUCACCUAGGCGACGAUCUCUAGCUGGUCUGAGAGGAUGAUCAGCCACACUGGGACUGAGACACGGCCCAG